AGUCAACGCUGGCGGCGUGCCUCAGACAUGCAAGUCGAACGAUUAAAGCUCUCUUCGGAGAGUGUAUAGAGUGGCGCACGGGUGAGUAACACGUAAGUAAUCUACCUUCGAGUGGGGAAUAACGUCCGGAAACGGACGCUAAUACCGCAUAAUGCAGCGGCAUCGCAAGAUGACAGUUGUUAAAGAUUUAUCGCUUGAAGAGGAGCUUGCGGCAGAUUAGCUAGUUGGUAAGGUAACGGCUUACCAAGGCUACGAUCUGUAUCCGGUCUAAGAGGACGGUCGGACACACUGACACUGAAUAACGGGUCAGACUCCUACGGGAGGCAGCAGUCGGGAAUUUUGGGCAAUGGGCGAAAGCCUGACCCAGCAACGCCGCGUGAAGGAUGAAGGUCUUCGGAUUGUAAACCCCUUUCGGGAGGGAAGAU
rnacentral:rRNA from 1 species